UACGGAGGGUGCAAGCGUUAUCCGGAUUCACUGGGUUUAAAGGGUGCGUAGGCGGGUAAGUAAGUCCGUGGUGAAAUCUCUGAGCUUAACUUAGAAACUGCCGUGGAUACUAUUUGCCUUGAAUAUUGUGGAGGUGAGCGGAAUAUGUCAUGUAGCGGUGAAAUGCUUAGAUAUGACAUAGAACACCAAUUGCGAAGGCAGCUCACUACACAAUCAUUGACGCUGAGGCACGAAAGCGUGGGGAUCAAACAGG
rnacentral:rRNA from 1 species